rnacentral:lncRNA from 1 species
CUUCUCAGAUUUAAAGGAGCAAACUGCUGUUUUCUGCCCCUCAGACCCCCUCAGACCCCCUCAGACCCUAUCAGACCCCCUCAGACCCCCUCAGACUGGCCUCUCAGACACCCUGCUGACCCCUCAGACACCUUAAAGCCCCCUGCUGGCCCCUCAGACCCCCCGCUGGGCCUUCAGACCCCCCGCUGGGCCCUCAGACCCCUCAGACCCCCUGCUGGGCCCUCAGAUCCCCGGCGCUGGGCCCUCAGACACCCUCAGACCCCCCGCUGGGCCCUCAGACCCCCUUCAGACCCCCCACUGGGCCCUCAGACCCCCUUCAGACCCCCCGCUGGGAACUCAGACCCACCCGCUGGGCCCUCAGACACCCUCAGACCCCCCGCUGGGCCCUCAGACCCUCCCGCUGGGCCCUCAGACCCCCCGCUGGGCCCUCAGACCCCCUCAGACCCCCCGCUGGGCCCUCAGACCCCCUUCAGACCCCCCGCUGGGCCCUCAGACCCUCCCGCUGGGCCCUCAGACCCCUUCAGACCCCCCCCUGGGCCCUCAGACCCCCCCGCUGGGCCCUCAGACCCCCCUGCUGGGCCCUCAGACCCCCCGCUGGGCCCUCAGACCCCCUCAGACCCCCCGCUGGGCCCUCAGACCCCCUUCAGACCCCCCGCUGGGCCCUCAGACCCCCCCGCUGGGCCCUCAGACCCCUUCAGACCCCCCCCCUGGGCCCUCAGACCCCCCGCUGGCCCCUCAGACCCCCCGCCACCCCCCGGCUGGGCCCUCAGACCCCCCCCGCUGGCCCCUCAGACCCCCUUCAGACCCCCCGCUGGGCCCUCAGACCCCCCCCUGCUGGCCCCUCAGACCCCCUUCAGACCCCCCGUUGGGCCCUCAGACCCCCCGCUGGGCCCUCAGACCCCCUUCAGACCCCCCGCUGGGCCCUCAGACCCCCCCCGCUGGCCCCUCAGACCCCCUUCAGACCCCCCGCUGGGCCCUCAGACCCCCCCCCCGCUGGCCCCUCAGACCCCCUUCAGACCCCCCGUUGGGCCCUCAGACCCCCUUCAGACCCCCCGCUGGGCCCUCAGACCCCCCCCCGCUGGCCCCUCAGACCCCCUUCAGACCCCCCGUUGGGCCCUCAGACCCCCCGCUGGGCCCUCAGACCCCCUCAGACCCCCCGCUGGGCCCUCAGACCCCCCGCUGGGCCCUCAGACCCCCCAAGGACCUUUCAAGUCUUUCCAGAAUAAAUGA